GUUGAACGCUGGCGGCGUGCCUAAUACAUGCAAGUCGAGCGAACGGACGAGAAGCUUGCUUCUCUGAUGUUAGCGGCGGACGGGUGAGUAAAACGUGGAGAACCUACCUAUAGGACUGGGAUAACUUCGGGAAACCGUUGCUAAUUCCGUCUUAUAUUUUGAACCGCAUGGUUCAAAAGCGAAAGACGGUCUUGCUGUCACUUAUAGGUGUAUCCGCGCUGCAUUAGCUAGUUGGUAAGGUAACGGCUUACCAAGGCGACGAUGCAUAGCCGACCUGAGAGGAUGAUCGGCCACACUGGAACUGAGACACGGUCCAGACUCCUACGGGAGGCAGCAGUAGGGAAUAUUCCGCAAUGGGCGAAAGCCUGACGGAGCCAUGCCGCGUGAGUGAAGAAGGUCUUCGGAUCGUAAAGCUCUGUUAUUAGGGAGGAAGAGAUGUAUAAGUAACUGUGCACAUCUUGACGUUACCUACACAGAAAGCCCCGGCUAACUACGUG
rnacentral:rRNA from 1 species